UCUUCCCUCUUUCUUCAUGCCUAACACAUGCAAGUCGAUCGGUAAGGCUCUUCGGAGUACCCGAGAGGCGGACGGCUGCGUGACGCGUAGGAACACACCCUGCAGUGAGGGAUCAGACACCGAAAGGUGUUCUAAUACCGCAUACGGUCUUCGGAUUAAAGCAUUUCUGCGCUGAAGGAGUGGCCUGCGUCAUAUUAGAUAGUUGGUGAGGUAAUGGCUCACCAAGUCGAUGAUGUGUAGCUGGUCUGAGAGGAUGAUCAGCCAGACUGGAACUGAGACACGGUCCAGACUCCUACGGGAGGCAGCAGUGAGGAAUAUGUCACAAUGAGCGAAAGCUUGAUGGAGCAAUGCCGCGUGCAGGAUGAAGGCCCUCGGGUUGUAAACUGCUUUUAUAAGAGAAGAUUAUGACGGUAACUUAUGAAUAAGGGACGGCUAACUACGUG
rnacentral:rRNA from 1 species